GACGAACGCUGGCGGCGUGCUUAACACAUGCCAGUCGAACGGAAAGGCCCUGCUUUUGUGGGGUGCUCGAGUGGCGAACGGGUGAGUAACACGUGAGUAACCUGCCCUUGACUUUGGGAUAACUUCAGGAAACUGGGGCUCAUACCGGAUAGGAGCUCCUGCUGCAUGGUGGGGGUUGGCACGGUUCGGCGGUUGGGGAGGGACUCGCGGCGUAUCAGCUUGUUGGUGGGGUAGUGGCUUACCACGGCUUUGACGGGUAGUCGGACUGAGAGGACGACCGGCCACCUGGGGGCGGGGACACGGCCCAGACGCCUACGAGAGGCCGCAGUCGCGAAUGGUGGACAAUGGGCGGAAGCAUUAUACAGCAAGGCCGAGUGCAGGACGAAGGCCUCCGGGUUGUAAACUGCUUUUGUGCGGAACGAAACGGCUCUGGUUAAUACCAGGGGCGAAUGACGGUACUGUAAGAAGAAGCACCGGCUAACUACGUG
rnacentral:rRNA from 1 species